rnacentral:rRNA from 1 species
CCUUGCCAGCCCGCUACAGAACUUAAAGGAAGUUGACGGGGCCCGGCGACAAGCGGUGGAGCAUGUGGUUAAUUCGAAGCAACGCGAAGAACUUACCAGGCCUUGACAUGCAGAGAACUUCCAGAGAUGGAUUGGUGCCUUCGGGAACUCUGACACAGGUGCUGCAUGGCUGUCGUCAGCUCGUGUCGUGAGAUGUUGGGUUAAGUCCCGUAACGAGCGCAACCCUUGUCCUUAGUUACCAGCACGUUAUGGUGGGCACUCUAAGGAGACUGCCGGUGACAAACCGGAGGAAGGUGGGGAUGACGUCAAGUCAUCAUGCCCCUUACGGCCUGGGGCUACACACGUGCUACAAUGGUCGGUACAAAGGGUUGCCAAGCCGCGAGGUGGAGCUAAUCCCAUAAAACCGAUCGUAGUCCGGAUCGCAGUCUGCAACUCGACUGCGUGAAGUCGGAAUCGCUAGUAAUCGUGAAUCAGAAUGUCACGGUGAAUACGUUCCCGGGCCUU